GUUCAUUUCAACCUUUAAUAUAUUAAAUUGAUAGGUAUAAAAUGUAUCUUGCUUUCUCUUUAAUACCAUGACUUUUUGAAAUGAAAACGUUAAACGUAUAGUUAUUAAUAACAUAUUUGUUCAAUAUUAAAUACACAGUACAAAAUCGAAAUUCAAAAUGUGCAGUGGUUCACUGUCUUGAGUUCUCUUGGCUCUUCAAUCUCUUUAAUACAACCAGUUACUGUUGAGGAACAGAAUUGUCUUUGUAAGGUGGUGCCUCGAACUGGGCUUUCCAAAGUUAAUGACAGCCUUAGAAUAAAUCAUCGCCAAUAAGAAGACAACCUCAAACUUAGGUAUGUGUUAGAAACAUACUUCACCAGGUACAAUCUGUGGUCUUCAGCUGGCAUUUCAUUCACUGCUGCAGGUAGAUGGUAUGGAGCUAGCAAUUCCGGUUUUCCUACCCGAUACAACCGGCCCCUGAGCCCGGAAUUUUACAGCUGAAUUUUACAGCUGAAUUUUACAGCUGAACUUUACAGCUGAAUUUUACAGCUGAAUUUUACAGCUAAAUUUACAUUUUUGUAUUGGACGCUGGUAGUCACUUGGCAGGGAAUGAUUGCUGCCC